rnacentral:rRNA from 1 species
GAUGAACGCUGGCGGCGUGCCUAAUACAUGCAAGUCGAGCGAACGGACGAGAAGCUUGCUUCUCUGAUGUUAGCGGCGGACGGGUGAGUAACACGUGGAUAACCUACCUAUAAGACUGGGAUAACUUCGGGAAACCGGAGCUAAUACCGGAUAAUAUUUUGAACCGCAUGGUUCAAAAGUGAAAGACGGUCUUUCUGUCACUUAUAGAUGGAUCCGCGCUGCAUUAGCUAGUUGGUAAGGUAACGGCUUACCAAGGCAACGAUGCAUAGCCGACCUGAGAGGGUGAUCGGCCACACUGGAACUGAGACACGGUCCAGACUCCUACGGGAGGCAGCAGUAGGGAAUCUUCCGCAAUGGGCGAAAGCCUGACGGAGCAACGCCGCGUGAGUGAUGAAGGUCUUCGGAUCGUAAAACUCUGCUAUUAGGGAAGAACAUAUGUGUAAGUAACUGUGCACAUCUUGACGGUACCUAAUCAGAAAGCCACGGCUAACUACGUG